GACGAACGCUGGCGGCGUGCUUAACACAUGCAAGUCGAACGGACAGGCCCUGCUUUUGUUGGGUGCUCGAGUGGCGAACGGGUGAGUAACACGUGAGUAACCUGCCCUUGACUUUGGGAUAACUUCAGGAAACUGGGGCUCAUACCCGAUAUGAGCUCCUGCUGCAUGUUGGGGGUUGGAAAGUUUCGGCGGUUGGGGAUGGACUCGCGGCUUAUCCGCUUGUUUGUGUGGUAGUGGCUUACCAAGGGUUUGACGGGUAGCCGGCCUGAGAGGGUUACCGGCCACAUUGGGACUGAGAGACGGCCCAGACUGCUACGGGAGGCAGCAGGGGGGAAUAUUGCAGAAUGGGCGGAAGCCUGAUGCAGAAACGCCGCGUGCGGGAUGACGGCCUUCGGGUUGUAAACCGAUUUCGCCGGUGACGAAGAGUGAGUGACGGUAAUGGGUAAAGAAGCACCGGCUAACUACGUG
rnacentral:rRNA from 1 species